AUUGAACGCUGGCGGCAUGCCUUACACAUGCAAGUCGAACGGUAACAGGUCUUCGGAUGCUGACGAGUGGCGAACGGGUGAGUAAUACAUCGGAACGUGCCUAGUAGUGGGGGAUAACUACUCGAAAGAGUGGCUAAUACCGCAUGAGAUCUACGGAUGAGAGCAGGGGAUCGCAAGACCUUGUGCUACUAGAGCGGCCGAUGACAGAUUAGGUAGUUGGUGGGAUAAAAGCUUACCAAGCCGACGAUCUGUAGCUGGUCUGAGAGGACGAUCAGCCACACUGGGACUGAGACACGGCCCAGACUCCUCCGGGAGGCAGCAGUGGGGAAUUUUGGACAAUGGGCGCAAGCCUGAUCCAGCAAUGCCGCGUGCAGGAUGAAGGCCUUCGGGUUGUAAACUGCUUUUGUACGGAACGAUAAGCCCUGGGUUAAUACCCUGGGGUCAUGACGGUACCGUAAGAAUAAGCACCGGCUAACUAAGUGCCAGCCGCCGCCGUAA
rnacentral:rRNA from 1 species